AAUGAACGCUGGCGGCAUGCCUAACACAUGCAAGUCGAACGACAACACAGGGAGAUUUCGCCCCUGCGGGUGGCGAGUGGCGGACGCGUCACGCAUGCAUCGCAUACCUCUCCGACUGGGGUGAUAACGUAGGAAAACUUCUACUAACACCGCAUAUAUCGAACGGGUUGGUGCAGGGGUUCGUGGAGCUUUUUGUGAGGGUAAUAGCCUAUGUCGGCUCAGCUAGUUGGCUGGGUAAAGGCCCACCAAGGCCACGCUGCGUAGCUGAUCUGAGAGGAUGAUCGGCCACACUGGAACUGAGACACGGUCCAGACUCCUACGGGAGGCAGCAGUAGGGAAUCUUGCGCAAUGGGCGAAAGCCUGAUGCAGCAAUACCGCGUGAGUGAUGAAGGCCUUCGGGUUGUAAAGCCCUGUUGUUAGGAAAGAAAAAAAGCGGAUUUAUCCAGGGCUGUUCUGACGGUACCGAAAGAAUAAGCACCGGCUAACUUCGUG
rnacentral:rRNA from 1 species